rnacentral:rRNA from 1 species
AUCCUACGGGAGGCAGCAGUGGGGAAUAUUGCACAAUGGGGGAAACCCUGAUGCAGCCAUGCCGCGUGUGUGAAGAAGGCCUUCGGGUUGUAAAGCACUUUCAGUAGGGAGGAAGGUAGUGUAGUUAACACCUGCACUAUUUGACGUUACCUACAGAAGAAGCACCGGCUAACUCCGUGCCAGCAGCCGCGGUAAUACGGAGGGUGCGAGCGUUAAUCGGAAUUACUGGGCGUAAAGCGCAUGCAGGCGGCCUGUUAAGUCAGAUGUGAAAGCCCGGGGCUUAACCUCGGAAUUGCAUUUGAAACUGGCAGGCUAGAGUCUUGUAGAGGGGGUAGAAUUUCAGGUGUAGCGGUGAAAUGCGUAGAGAUCUGAAGGAAUACCAGUGGCGAAGGCGGCCCCCUGGACAAAGACUGACGCUCAGAUGCGAAAGCGUGGGGAGCAAACAGGAUUAGAUACCCUGGUAG